CAGGUAACAGGUGCCAGGUGAGGUGCCAGGUGCCAGGUGAGGUGCCAGGUGCCGGCUCGCCUCUCUCAGGUGGCGUCACCGCGAUGGAAGGGGGGUCAGGGAAGGGUGAGGGGACAGGUGAGGGGACAGUGCCAGGUAACAAUGACAGGUAACAGGUGCCAGGUGAGGCUGCCAGGUGCCGGCUCACCUCUCUCAGGUGGCGUCACCCCGCGAUGGAAGGGGGGUCAGGGACAGGUGAGGGGACAGGUGACGGGACAGGUGAGGGGACAGUGACAGGUAACAGUGCCAGGUAACAGGUGCCAGGUGCCAGGUGCCAGGUGAGGUGCCAGGUGCCGGCUCA